AAGUAGCUCUCGUUGGUGACAGCGGAGGGAUCAUU
rnacentral:rRNA from 1 species